rnacentral:rRNA from 1 species
UACGUGGGGUGCAAGCGUUGUUCGGAAUUACUGGGCGUAAAGCGUGUGUAGGCGGCUCACUAAGUCUGGUGUGAAAUCCCCAAGCUUAACUUGGGAACUGCAUCGGAAGCUGGUGAGCUCGAGUCCGGGAGAGGGUAGCGGAAUUCCUGGUGUAGAGGUGAAAUUCGUAGAUAUCAGGAGGAACACCGGUGGCGAAGGCGGCUACCUGGACCGGUACUGACGCUGAGACACGAAAGCGUGGGGAGCAAACAGG